UCAUCACUCCGUGCGCACAGAGCAGCUCAGGCUCUCACCGGCAAUAGCAAGAGGAGUUAACUAACGUGCUGGGAGUGGGGGACGGCCCAUGGGACCACGACUGAAUGCAUUUGUACCUCUACAGUCCUCAACUGUAGGGUGAUAACGAAGGUGUAUUAUACUCCCUCUACAAGUAAGAAUCCUGAUGUCUAGAGAGGGCGUUUUAAAGAUAAAUGGUAAAACUGAACUGGAAAUCCAUCUGGCCGGCUGCCUGCUCUAAUGAAUAACCCCACUUUGGCUCGUGCAAUGACUUCUUCCCUUUGGAAAGCAGUGUGGUGGCAGUGUCAAGAAUGCCUGUGUGUUUGCAGCAGGUUCCUUCCAAAAGCAGCUGGAAGUGCCACCUCCAGGCCAUCUGGCCAGUGUGAGGAAAAGAGGCUGCAAGGGCUUGGCAAGAAACAACUUUCUGCUCCUCUGGUAUCCCCUGAUAACUGAUUUCAAGUUAUGACCAAGGACUUCCUUAUCGCUAUCAGUGGCUGUCAAAAAUUUGGUUAGGUACAUGGAAGGAAUUUUUUUUCCUGAUGGUCGUGAGAACGCUGUCAAGAUUUUGUUGCUCAAAUAUGAUCAGAACAUGCAUUUGUCGUUUGCACACUUUUUCUUGGAAGGAAAUGGAGAGGAACUGUAAAGAUGGAGAAACGCAGAAAAAUCCAAACGCUGGAGUUGGAGUUGGCUUAUAUAGGGAAGCCUCUGCAUAUUGAAACAAAUCAGGGAGACUGGGUCAGGCCAGGCAAGAGAGGACAGCACAUUCUCAUCUUUUACUCCUUCUGAAAUUGGAAGUACAGGAUUCUGAAAUGCUGGUAGAUUAAACGAGAACAACAAGCAUCUUAUUGCCUCAAGGAACUUAAUGUUUUGCAGCCACAGGGCAGGAUUCCGAUAUCAUACUUUAUUAUCACAAACUAAAGUCAAGAAAGAAAGAAGUUUUGAGAAUGCCUGGAUUGGUAUAUUUUCAAUAAAUAAUACAACUCUUACUGUGUGAAAUGAAAGGCAGAUCGUGGGAAAAUGUAUGAUUCUAUUUAUAGUCAAAUUUAAAUUAUCUGAUUAUAGGACAAAAUUAGGAGAGACUUUAAACCUGCCCUUUUAGUGCCUAAUUUGCCACUAAAAAUAGUAAAACUACUCACAUUUGAUAAGCAAUCUGUCUUGUUAUUUGUUGUCCUAUGAACUAUGAAAAAGAACUAAGAAAAAUUCCCUUCUUUCUUUUUCUUUUCAUAAAACUCAAUCCAGGGCCUGCAUAUUAUAUUCACAUUUUUCUUGUGUGCUUCCUUUUGUAUGUUUUGGCCACUCUGGUGGAAUUUUCUAUGAUAAGAGGACCACCAAUCCAGUAUGCGUGGUGUGGGGUUGGCCCAUUGAGUGGGCCUCACUGGGCCUCUGGGGAAGAGGGCCAGGAAUUCACAGGGCUUGAUUACCACCAGGACUUUUUCUGCUUUUAAGUUAACUAUGUUCUUCCUGGUAAAUCAACGCCUCGACUUUGGAGAUUUAACAUCAGCUCUGUGAUUGAGCAGAAACUCUGAAAAGAAGAUGUCCCAGCAAUGCCUACCUGAACUUUCCCCAAGCUUGUUAUAAGGAAAAUAAGAAGGUGUCCCGAGAAAGGGAGUCAUUGGAUGUGGAACCACCAGGGUGACUUAAAUAUUAUUAAACCAGCUUCCAUGGUGACGUAUGUAAACAAAAGUAAAAGCGUCUUUAUACAUACAAGAUAAACAUCAUUUAGCUUUUCAUUGUGUGUCCCUAACACUUGCAUCUGUCUGCUGUGCAUAUUUUCUUUUUAAAAAAGCAUAAAAUUAAAUUUACCAGGACUCA
ensembl:lncRNA